rnacentral:rRNA from 1 species
GAUGAACGCUGGCGGCGUGCCUAAUACAUGCAAGUCGAGCGAACAGACGAGGAGCUUGCUCCUCUGACGUUAGCGGCGGACGGGUGAGUAACACGUGGAUAACCUACCUAUAAGACUGGGAUAACUUCGUGAAACCGGAGCUAAUACCGGAUAAUAUAUUGAACCGCAUGGUUCAAUAGUGAAAGUCGGUUUUGCUGUCACUUAUAGAUUGAUCCGCGCCGCAUUAGCUAGUUGGUAAGGUAACGGCUUACCAAGGCAACGAUGCGUAGCCGACCUGAGAGGGUGAUCGGCCACACUGGAACUGAGACACGGUACAGACUCCUACGGGAGGCAGCAGUAGGGAAUCUUCCGCAAUGGGCGAAAGCUUGACGGAGCAAAGCCGCGUGAGUGAUGAAGGUCUUAGGAUCGUAAAACUCUGUUAUUAGGGAAGAACAAAUGUGUAAGUAACUAUGCACGUAUUGACGGUACCUAAUCAGAAAGCCACGGCUAACUACGUG